rnacentral:rRNA from 1 species
UACGUAGGGGGCAAGCGUUGUCCGGAAUCAUUGGGCGUAAAGAGCUCGUAGGCGGUCUGUCGCGUCUGCUGUGAAAACUCGGGGCUUAACCCCGGGCCUGCAGUGGGUACGGGCAGACUAGAGUGCGGUAGGGGAGACUGGAAUUCCUGGUGUAGCGGUGAAAUACGCAGAUAUCAGGAGGAACACCGGUGGCGAAGGCGGGUCUCUGGGCCGUAACUGACGCUGAGGAGCGAAAGCGUGGGGAGCGAACAGG